GACAGAGGGUGCAAACGUUGUUCGGAAUUACUGGGCGUAAAGCGUGUGUAGGCGGCCAUGUAAGUCAGGUGUGAAAGCCCCGGGCUCAACCCGGGAAGUGCACUUGAUACUGCGUGGCUUGAGUACUGGAGAGGUUGGUGGAAUUCUCGGUGUAGAGGUGAAAUUCGUAGAUAUCGAGAGGAACACCGGUGGCGAAGGCGGCCAACUGGACAGAUACUGACGCCGAGACACGAAAGCGUGGGGAGCAAACAGG
rnacentral:rRNA from 1 species